rnacentral:rRNA from 1 species
ACUAGCAGUUAUAUUAUCUUACAGCUCACAACUGGCAACCCACUGAAGUUAAGCAGUUAUGAGCCUGGCCAGUACCUUGAUGAGAGACCUCCUGGGAAAGCUAGGGAUGCUGCUGGAA